rnacentral:rRNA from 1 species
UACGUAGGGUCCGAGCGUUGUCCGGAAUUAUUGGGCGUAAAGGGCUCGUAGGCGGUUUGUCGCGUCUGCUGUGAAAACUCGAGGCUCAACCUCGGGCUUGCAGUGGGUACGGGCAGACUAGAGUGCGGUAGGGGUGACUGGAAUUCCUGGCGUAGCGGUGGAAUGCGCAGAUAUCAGGAGGAACACCGAUGGCGAAGGCAGGUCACUGGGCCGCAACUGACGCUGAGGAGCGAAAGCAUGGGGAGCGAACAGG